UGGGGAGUAAGAACCACAGGGGAUUGCCUCAGUAACGGCGAGUGAAGCGGCAACAGCUCAAAUUUGAAAGCUGGCUCUCGGGCCCGCGUUGUAAUUUGCAGAGGAUGCUUCGGGUGCAGUGCUGGUCUAAGUUCCUUGGAACAGGACGUCAUAGAGGGUGAGAAUCCCGUAUGUGACUGGUGGCGUGCGCCUGUGUGAAGCUCCUUCGACGAGUCGAGUUGUUUGGGAAUGCAGCUCUAAUCGGGUGGUGUACUUCAUCUAAAGCUAAAUACCGGCCAAAGACCGAUAGCGCACAAGUAGAGUGAUCGAAAGAUGAAAAGCACUUUGAAAAGAGAGUUAAACAGUACGUGAAAUUGUUGAAAGGGAAGCGUUUGCAAUCAGACUUGUACAGCGCCGAUCAGCCUGGGUUCUCCCUGGUGCACUCGGCGCUGCGCAGGCCAGCAUCAGUUUCAGCGGCUGGAUAAAGGCCUAGGGAAUGUGAGUUGCUUCGGCGACUGUUAUAGCCCUAGGCGCCAUGCAGCCUGUGGGGACUGAGGACCGCGCUUCGGCUAGGAUGCUGGCGUAAUGGUUACAAACGACCCGUCUUGAAACACGGACCAAGGAGUCUAACAUCUAUGCGAGUGUUUGGGCGUCAAACCCAUAUGCGGAAUGAAAGUGAACGGAGGUGAGAACCCUUAAGGGUGCAUCAUCGACCGAUCCUGAUGUCUUCGGAUGGAUUUGAGUAAGAGCAUAGCUGUUGGGACCCGAAAGGUUAGUGCUCUCCCUCCCCCUCUCCUCUUGAUUACGUAAUACUAACAGUGAAUUGUAGAUGGUGAACUAUGCCUGAAUAGGGUGAAGCCAGAGGAAACUCUGGUGGAGGCUCGCAGCGGUUCUGACGUGCAAAUCGAUCGACAAAUUUGGGUAUAGGGGCGAAAGACUAAUCGAACCAUCAGGCUACCCUAGGUGGUUGAGAGGCCUGCGAGGCCUAGUCGUCUAGGCGGCAAUACUGCAAAAUUGCGGGGACUGCUCGAGAGGUGCAGGCUACCACAGCAGGCUCGAAAGGGCCUGCCACGGUCACAAGGCCUGACAGCUGAGCUGAUCCGCAACCCUAGCCUAAGGCUGUAUCCCCUCUUUGGGGCAGCGAUGGCGGAGGGCUCAUCGACUAGAUGGCAGUAGGUAGGGGGGAUAUCUCCCCCCUAGCUUAAGGGAUAGUCAGCCUGCAGCGGGGAUGCUUAGAGAUGCGUAUCGU
rnacentral:rRNA from 1 species